rnacentral:tRNA from 1 species
CAUUAGAUGACUGAAAGUAAGUAUUGAUCUCUUAAAUCAUAUAAUAAUAUUGUAACGGAUAUUUCUAAUGA